rnacentral:pre_miRNA from 1 species
AAUGUACUCCCUCCGUCCCAUAAUUCUUGUCGUUGUUUUAGUACAAAUUUGAACUAAAAUAACGACAAGAAUUAUGGGAUGGAGGGAGUAUAUU